UACGGGGGGGGCAAGCGUUGUUCGGAAUUACUGGGCGUAAAGGGCGCGUAGGCGGUUCGCUAAGUCGGAUGUGAAAACUCUGGGCUCAACCCAGAGCCUGCAUCCGAAACUGGCGGGCUAGAGUUCUGGAGGGGGUAGCGGAAUUCCUGGUGUAGCGGUGAAAUGCGUAGAUAUUAGGAAGAACACCGAUAGCGAAAGCACUCUGCUGGGCCUGAACUGACACUGAGAGACGAAAGCUAGGGGAGCAAAAAGG
rnacentral:rRNA from 1 species